AUUCUUUUGUGGUUCAUAAGCGUGAUGAUUGGGUGUUCACAUGAAUGUGUGGGAUGUGUCACCCUCAAACCUUGUUGUGCUAUUUUUCUGCCUGCCU
rfam:Pan troglodytes isolate Yerkes chimp pedigree #C0471 (Clint) chromosome 14, whole genome shotgun sequence.